rnacentral:tRNA from 1 species
GCUUGAGUGGCUCAGUGGGACAGAGAGCUGGGCCUCAAGACCCAGAGGUUGUAGGUUCGAAUCCUGACCCCAGGCU